rnacentral:lncRNA from 1 species
CAGGGACUGCUACGGAGGACCAAACAGGGACUGGAUAGACAGGGACUGGUAGACCACAGGGACUGCCAUGAUAGACACAGGGGACUGGCAUGGGCACAGGGACUGUCCUGGAUGACAACGGGAACUGGAUAGACAAGGACUGGAUGGCCACAGGGACUGGAUGGGCACAGGGGAUGGAUGGGCACAGGGACUGGAUGGACACAGGGACUGGUGCCAGUGACACAGGGACUUGGAUGGGCAAAGGGCUGAUGGACACAGGGACUGGAUCACACAGGGACUGGAUGGGCCACAGGGACUGCUCUGGAUGGAAAACAGCUCCUUGUUCUGUGUGUAUCUGAAUCCCAUCCUAUCCCCUUACUUUUGACAAGGGCACUCUGUGGGUCUUUAGUAAACGCGAUGAUCUAACUAAUGAUACUAUCACAAGAGGACUCAUUUUCCCAGCAAGCAA